UACACUCCUACGGGAGGCAGCAGUGGGGAAUUUUGGACAAUGGGCGAAAGCCUGAUCCAGCAAUGCCGCGUGAGUGAAGAAGGCCUUCGGGUUGUAAAGCUCUUUUGUCAGGGAAGAAACGGUGAGAGCUAAUAUCUUUUGCUAAUGACGGUACCUGAAGAAUAAGCACCGGCUAACUACGUGCCAACAGCCGCGGUAAUACGUAGGGUGCAAGCGUUAAUCGGAAUUACUGGGCGUAAAGCGUGCGCAGGCGGUUUUGUAAGUCUGAUGUGAAAUCCCCGGGCUCAACCUGGGAAUUGCAUUGGAGACUGCAAGGCUAGAAUCUGGCAGAGGGGGGUAGAAUUCCACGUGUAGCAGUGAAAUGCGUAGAUAUGUGGAGGAACACCGAUGGCGAAGGCAGCCCCCUGGGUCAAGAUUGACGCUCAUGCACGAAAGCGUGGGGAGCAAACAGGAUUAGAUACCCUUGUAGUCCCAUGAU
rnacentral:rRNA from 1 species